rnacentral:rRNA from 1 species
AGGACGAACGCUGGCGGCGUGCUUAACACAUGCAAGUCGAACGGAAAGGCCCGCUUGCGGGUACUCGAGUGGCGAACGGGUGAGUAACACGUGGGCAACCUGCCCUCAGCUCUGGGAUAACUCCGGGAAACCGGUGCUAAUACUGGAUAUCGACUUCUGCCUCGCAUGGGGUGUUGUUGAAAGUUUUCGGCUGGGGAUGGGCCCGCGGCCUAUCAGUCUUGUUGGUGGGGUGAUGGCCUACCAAGGCGACGACGGGUA